rnacentral:rRNA from 1 species
GACGGAGGGUGCAAGCGUUAUUCGGAAUUAUUGGGCGUAAAGAGCGUGUAGGCGGCCGGUUAAGUCAGGUGUGAAAGCCCGGGGCUCAACCUCGGAAGUGCACUUGAAACUGGUCGGCUUGAGUUCGGGAGAGGGAAGCGGAAUUCCGGGUGUAGAGGUGAAAUUCGUAGAUAACCGGAGGAACAUCGGUGGCGAAGUCGGCUUCCUGGACCGAAACUGACGCUGAGACGCGAAAGCGUGGGGAGCAAACAGG